rnacentral:rRNA from 1 species
AGUGAACGCUGGCGGUAGGCCUAACACAUGCAAGUCGAACGGCAGCACAGUAAGAGCUUGCUCUUACGGGUGGCGAGUGGCGGACGGGUGAGGAAUACAUCGGAAUCUACUUUUUCGUGGGGGAUAACGUAGGGAAACUUACGCUAAUACCGCAUACGACCUACGGGUGAAAGCAGGGGAUCUUCGGACCUUGCGCGAUUGAAUGAGCCGAUGUCGGAUUAGCUAGUUGGCGGGGUAAAGGCCCACCAAGGCGACGAUCCGUAGCUGGUCUGAGAGGAUGGUCAGCCACACGGGAAGUGAGACACGGUCCAUACUCCUACGGGAGGCAGCAGUGGGGAAUAUGGGACAACGGGCGCAAGCCUGAUCCAGCCAUACCGCGUGGGUUAAGAAGGCCUUCCGGUUGUAAAGCCCUUUUGUUGGGAAAGAAAAGCAGCAGGUUAAUACCCCGCUGUUCUGACGGUACCCAAAGAAUAAGCACCGGCUAACUUCGUG